CCCUUAGAUGUUCUGGGCUGCAUGCGCGCUACACUGAAGCUAUCAACACGUUUUCCCUCCCUGAGAAGGGCGGGUAACCUUUUGAAUCAGCUUCGUGGUAGGGAUCGGGGCUUGCAAUUGUUCCCCGUGAACCAGGAAUUCCUAGUAGACGCGAGUCAUAAGCUCGCAUCGAUUAAGUCCCUGCCCUUUGUACACACCGCCCGUCGCUACUACCGAUUGAACGUUUUAGUGAGGCAUUUGGACCGACGCAUCUCAGCUUAACCGCUGGUUUGUGUUGGAAAGACUUCCAAACUUGAGCGUUUAGAGGAAGUAAAAGUCGUAACA
rnacentral:rRNA from 1 species